rnacentral:rRNA from 1 species
ACGGCUCAGUAACACGUGGCUAAUCUGCCCUUAGGACGAGAACAACCCGGGGAAACUGGGGCUAACUCUUGAUAGGUGAAGAACUCUGGAAUGAGUCUUUGCCUAAAAAGAUUCACGUUAUCCUCGUGAACCUGCCUAAGGAUGAGGCCGCGACCGAUCAGGUUGUUGGCGAGGUAAUGGCUCACCAAGCCUUUUACCGGUGCGGGCCGUGGGAGCGGGAGCCCGGAGAUGGGUACUGAGACAAGGACCCAGGCCCUACGGGGCGCAGCAGUCGCGAAACCUUUGCAAUACACGGAAGUGUGACAGGGCUAUCCCGAGUGCCAUCCGCUGAGGAAGGCUUUUACCCAGUCUAGAACGCUGGGGGAAUAAGGAGAGGGCAAGUCUGGUGUCAGCCGCCGCGGUAAUACCAGCUCUCCGAGUGGUGUGGAUGUUUAUUGGGCCUAAAGCAUCCGUAGCUGGCUAGGUAAGUCCCUUGUUAAAUCCACCGAAUUAAUCGUUGGAUCGCGGGGGAUACUGCUUGGCUAGGGGACGAGAGAGGCAGACGGUAUUUUCGGGGUAGGGGUGAAAUCCUAUAAUCCCGGGAAGACCACCAGUGGCGAAGGCUGUCUGCUAGAACGCGCCCGACGGUGAGGGAUGAAAGCUGGGGGAGCGAACCGGAUUAGAUACCCGGGUAGUCCCAGCUGUAAACGAUGCAGACUAGGUGUUUGGACGGCCACGUGCCGUUCUAGUGCCGCAGGGAAGCUGUUAAGUCUGCCGCCUGGGGAGUACGAUCGCAAGAUUGAAACUUAAAGGAAUUGGCGGGGGAGCAC